rnacentral:rRNA from 1 species
GACGAACGCUGGCGGCGUGCUUAACACAUGCAAGUCGAGCGGAGCGGCGCACGGGUGAGUAACGCGUGAGUAACUGCCCCCCUCUCUGGGAUAACAGUUGGAAACGGCUUCUAAUACCGGAUAGUGGGGGAUGACUCGCGUCCUAUCAGCUUGUUGGUGGGGUAGUGGCCUACCAAGGAGACGACGGGUAGCCGGCCUGAGAGGUCGACCGGCCACAGUGGUCUGAGAUACGGCCCAAACGACUAAGGGAGGCAGCAGGGGGGAAUAUUGCACAAUGGGGGAAACCCUGAUGCAGAAACGCCGAGUGCGGGAGGAAGGUCGUGGGGUUGUAAACCGCUUUCAGCCAUGACGCGGUAGUGGCAGAAGAAGCACCGGCUAACUACGUGCCAGCAGCCGCGGUAAUAC